GUAGGCAUAGUUUAAUCAAAACAUUAGAUUGUGAUUCUAAAAACAGAGGUUAAAACCCCCUUGCCCACC
rnacentral:tRNA from 1 species